AUUGAACGCUGGAGGCGUGCUUAACACAUGCAAGUCGUGCGAGAAAGGGACUUCGGUCCUGAGUAGAGCGGCGCACGGGUGAGUAACGCGUGGGUAAUCUCCCUUGGUGAUCGGGAUAACAGCGGGAAACUGCUGCUCAUACCGGAUAAUCUUCAUGUUUAACUUCAUGGGGUAAAGGUGGCCUCUGCUUGCAAGCUACCACACCGAGAUGAGCCCGCGUCUCAUUAGCUAGUUGGUAGGGUAAUGGCCUACCAAGGCUACGAUGAGUAGCUGGUCUGAGAGGAGGACCAGCCACACUGGGACUGGAACACGGCCCAGACUCCUACGGGAGGCAGCAGUGGGGAAUAUUGCGCAAUGGGCGAAAGCCUGACGCAGCGACGCCUCGUGAGGGAUGAAGGUCUUCGGAUCGUAAACCUCUGUCAAGAGGGAAGAAACCCUUGGAUUCGAAUAGGGUCCUUGGCUGACGGUACCUCAAAAGGAAGCACCGGCUAACUCCGUGCCAGCAGCCGCUGUAA
rnacentral:rRNA from 1 species